rnacentral:rRNA from 1 species
AUGAAUGCCUUUGGAUUCAAACACAUACAACAAGUGCCACCAUCCAAGCAGUGGCGCAUUACGGAUUCCAUAUUAAACAACUCCGAGAAGGAUAUUGUGAGUAGGUCCACAGAUGCAGAGAAGAAGCAGAUUGUAAGUAUAUUGAUCGAUCAAGGUAGUGACAGGGAUCUCAUCGUCCUUCCCAUUGUGGGAAUGGGUGGGUUGGGCAAGACCACAUUUGCUCAGCUUGUCUACAAUGACCCUGCAAUCAAGAAGCAUUUCCAGCUCCAAAGGUGGUGUUGUGUGACCGAUGAUUUUGACGUUACUAAGAUUGCAAGCAACAUCUGCCAGAUCAAUGAGAUCAAUCGAGAAAAGGCAUUGCAAGACCUUCAGAAAGAAGUAAGUGGGAAGAGAAACCUUAUUGUGCUGGAUGAUGUGUGGAAUGAAGAUGCUGAAAAGUGGGAAAAACUCAAGACCUGCUUGAAUCACGGUGCCAAGGGAAGUGCAAUACUCACGACCACCCGUAAUGCACAUGUGGCUCAAAUUAUGAAGAUGUGUGUUCACAGCCAAAAUCUGCGAAUGCUACAUAAAGAUUUUCUGAAGGAAAUAUUUGUGAAUAGAGCAUUCUGUUUGCAAAAGCCACUAGCUGAUGAGCCUGGCCUAAGUAAGGUGGUUGACAAGAUUCUGGUCAGAUGCGGGGGUUCUCCUUUAGCUGCCAAAGCCUUUGGAUCUAUGUUGAGUAACAAGACUAGCAUAAAAGAAUGGGAGGACAUACUAGCGAGAAGCAAAACUUUCAACAAGGACAUAGAAACUUUACCUAUACUCAAGCUCAGCUAUGAUGACUUACCAUCCCAGUUGAAAGAGUGCUUUGCUUUUUGUGCUUUAUUUCCUAAAGAUUAUGAGAUUGAUGUGGAAAUUUUAAUUCAGCUGUGGAUGGCACAUGAUUUCAUACAAUUGAAGAAAGGCGACAAUCUUGAAAAGGUAGGCAGAUACAUUUUUGAUGAGCUAACUUGGAGGUCAUUCUUUCAAGAUGUCAAGCAAACCCCUCGAAGAGAAUGGCAGGCGCUUCGUUCUAGAACAAUAUGCAAGAUACAUGAUCUUAUGCAUGACAUUGCCUUGUCUAUUAUGGGAAAAGAUUGUCUUACUAUAAUUGAUAGGCCAGAUGAGAAGGAGUUGGUGUCAGCAGGCCCUACUCGUCACUUGUUAUCAUCAUAUCGUUUUAUCGGAGGCCAUUUGGAUGAUUAUCUGAAGAAACACUCUCCAACUCUCCAGAGAAUGAUGUAUGCAGAGUACACUGAGGGACCAGCACAACACUUGUGUAAGUACAAUCAUCUGCGAGCACUGCAACUCUAUGGAUUGAGUAAACUUCCACUUCAUCCAAGGCAUUUGGAACACCUGAGGUAUCUUGAUCUCUCAGGAAACUUCAAGAUCAAGGAGCUUCCCAAGGAACUAUGCAUACUGUAUAAUCUGCAGACUCUUAACCUUUCUUAUUGUCAAAAUCUGGGCCGACUUCCAAAGGAUAUGAAGUAUAUGACAAAUCUACGUCAUCUCUAUACCAAUGGAUGCAGCUCACUAGAGUGCAUGCCUCCAGACCUCGGGCAACUCACUUCUCUACAGACUGUAACAUAUUUUGUGGUGGGUUCUAGUUCUGCUUGCAGUACUAUUAAAGAACUACAAAACUUAAAUCUCAGUGGUGAAUUAGAGAUAUUUCGUCUUCAGUAUGCUACCGAAGAAGAUGCUCUAGCAUGCAGCCUUGGAAACAAAGAGAAACUGACACAUUUAUCUCCUAAAUGGAGCGACAAGAACAGCGAGGGACUGAACCAUCAUAAGAAUGUGCUUGGUGCACUAGUAGAAAAAGGAUCUAAUAUGAGAAACAUUAGUACCGGUUCGCAUAUGAGCCGGCACUAA